CAAAGUUUUAUUGGUCUCAUAAAAUCAAUGUUGUAAACGUGCUGAGCACAGGAAACAUGCAUGAGUCUUUGGAUCCCUGGUCUUUAACAGAUAUUCCUGCACAUGGCUGAUAAAUGUUGAUUGACUGAGAUAAGCAGUAUAGUCUUGAGAUCAUUAUCUGUGGAAUGGUUUUGCACAAGUUCCAUGAGUUAAUAAAAUUUUGAAAAUACCAAAAUUUGUCCCUAGAACAAGGAUCUUGAGCAGUCCCUAGAAUAAAAUGUUUGGAAUUUAUCCACAAGAGUUAAUUAGGCUGCAUAUGGUUCUUGUUGUUUUGUUCUGUUUUGUUUUUUACUAAAGUUAUCCUUUUUAUUAAGCGUUUAAGAAACUGUAUCACAGCUUCUCCAUUGAAGUCAUGCAUCUGAUGUUUAGGCUCUGCUGAUAAACUCACUGCACUGUCUUUACAAUGUGUGGGAUAAAAGGAUUCACUCCAUGGGUGUCUGUGACUGGUUCUGUUAAUAAUUGUUUUCCUUUUCUCAUUAUAGUUCGACAUUUUAGAAGCCAAAUGCUGUUCCACACUCUAUUAGCCUCUUGCACUGGAUAUUGGGACUGAGGUUUAGAACAAAGAUAAAGUAAAAAUGGAAAAACAUGUAAGACUGAAAUGGCACAACCAGGAUAAUAACUUUAGCUCAAAUCACCUGCUGACACCUGUAAAUUAAGGAGCAAUCACGCAGACCCAUCAAAGGAAAGGUGCGAAGAGCCAAGGACAGAGCAGCCUGCCCCAGGUGCUAGUCAGUUCCUUUCUCAUGGGUGUUGUCAGUUACUAGAGUAUCAGUCAGCCAUUGUUGCAAAAUAUACAACCACAAAAUUUCAGUGUCAUACAACACUAAGGUGUUGAUUUCAUUCACAUGUGGCUGAUAUAGGCUGGGUUUGGCUGGGCAGCUGUAAGCUGCUGAUUGGACCUAAGUCUGCCUGAGGCUUCAUCCUUCUUCAGUUAAACGCUUUCCAUGGGAAACUGAACUAAUGGCAAUGUGAGAGAAACAAGAGAGGCUGCACAACCAGGCAAGCCCAGACCACAUGGCCAAGCCCAAACUCAAGGAGGUAGUGAAGCAUAUUUUUUCCACAGAAGUGUCAGAGAAGGAAGUAAAUAUUUUGGAAUGACUAAUGUCCAUAGGCAGAGGCCUAGUCUGAAGCAUUUCUAUAAUAAUGGAGAUAAUUGUGCUAAAGAAGUCAAGGGUAGGUGAUUCUUGUAUUUCUAAGUCCCGGAUAUUUUUACCGGGAAAUGUUGCUGAUAGGACAAUGAAUUGAUACUAUCUUUCUAGGGCAUAUUUGCAAUAUAUAUUAGCAAUUUAUUAUCUAUUGACUUCUAAGAAUUUGUCUGAGAUGUAUAGAAAGAUUUUUAUAUAAAGUCAUCCACCUCACUUUUAUAUUAGUGAAAUACUGGGGAAAAAUACAGGUGUUUGGUUGAAUAAAAUAUGUGACAUCCAGAUAAUGGAAUAUUUAUGCCACAUUUCAGUGAUGUUAUACCAGAAUCUUUGAUGACAUGGGACAGUAUUGCCAAUAUUCUUGCUUAAUGAAAAAAAGCAUGUUACAAAACAGCAGAUAUUUUGUUUUUAAAUCAUGUAUAUAUGGGUAUUCAUAUUAAGCUUCUGUAGGGAUAUCAAAUAAAAUAUAAUAGUUAUUUGUGGAUGGAGCUAAUUUUCAUCUGAAAUUUAUUCUACCUACUAUGAUCUGAAUGUUGGUGUUUCCCCCAAAAUUGAUUUGUUUGAACUUAAUACCCAAUGUAAUAAUAACAUUAAGAGGCAGGGUCUUUGGGGAUGAGAUUUGUGUCCUAAUAAAUGAAUCUGAAGGGAGCUGCCUUGCCUUUCCACCACAUGAGGUCACAGUAAGAAAGCACCAUCUUGGAAGUAGAAAGCAAGAUAUCACCAGACAUUGAAUGUGUUGUUGCCUUGAUCUUGGACUUCCCAGCCUCCAGAAGUAUGAG
rnacentral:lncRNA from 10 species